UUAGUACUUCCUCCGUCUAACAAAAAAAUGUCUGAAGUUUGUCAAAAUUUGAAUGUAUAUAGACAUAUGAGUUAGUGUAUAGAUGCAUUCAAAUUUGGUCAAAAUUAAGAUAUCCUUUGUUGGACGGAGGGAGUACAAA
rfam:Brachypodium distachyon strain Bd21 chromosome 2, whole genome shotgun sequence.